AUUGAACGCUGGCGGCAGGCUUAACACAUGCAAGUCGAGCGGAGAUGAGGUGCUUGCACUUUAUCUUAGCGGCGGACGGGUGAGUAAUGCUUAGGAAUCUGCCUAUUAGUGGGGGACAACAUUCCGAAAGGAAUGCUAAUACCGCAUACGCCCUUCGGGGAAAAGCAGGGGAUCUUCGGACCUUGCGCUAAUAGAUGAGCCUAAGUCGGAUUAGCUAGUUGGUGGGGUAAAGGCCUACCAAGGCGACGAUCUGUAGCGGGUCUGAGAGGAUGAUCCGCCACACUGGGACUGAGACACGGCCCAGACUCCUACGGGAGGCAGCAGUGGGGAAUAUUGGACAAUGGGCGGAAGCCUGAUCCAGCCAUGCCGCGUGUGUGAAGAAGGCCUUUUGGUUGUAAAGCACUUUAAGCGAGGAGGAGGCUACCUGGAUUAAUACUCUAGGAUAGUGGACGUUACUCGCAGAAUAAGCACCGGCUAACUCUGUGCCAGCCGCCGCCGUAAGAC
rnacentral:rRNA from 1 species